rnacentral:tRNA from 1 species
GGAGUAAAGCCAAAAUAGAGGCGGGUCUCUGUUACAGAUCAGAUUGGAGUUUUCCUGCCCCUGU